UAUUUUAUAUUGUGCUUGAGUCUUGCUUGUUGGUUAAAUCAAAAAGUGAAUACAUAAUUAAAAUAAAUAAAUUUCAACUUUUACAAUGGAAGAAAGAAAGAACAGAGCUCCUUUAAAACGAAAAGUCAUUUCAAUAGAAACAAAAAUACAAAUUCUAAACCGCUUAGAUAAUGGGCAAACUGCUACGGAAAUAGCAAGAAGCCUUGAUUUAAAUGAGGCUACAGUUCGCACUAUCAAAAAGAAUGAAACUAAAAUACGACAUGCAGGAAGCAUUGGGUCAUCUAUAUCUACAAAAUUUACCAGUAGAGCACGUGCACCAAUUUUGGAGAAAAUAGAAAGAGCACUUAGCAUUUGGAUCGAAAAAAGAUCCCUUUAAUCGAACGGAUCUUUAAGGAAACGGCACUCAGGAUUGGACUGCGCGAGCAAAAUGAAGAGCCCUCUUCCAGCAUAGAUUCGUUGCUAGUAAUGGAUAAUUCGCGAAAUUUAAAAAAAGGUUCUCCAUUCAUAGCCUCAAAUUUAAGGGUGAAGCGGCGUCGGCUGAUGAUGAAGCUGCUACCACAUACCCAGAAGAAAUUCAGGGGUUCAUUAAUGAAGAGGAAUUCCUGCCCGAUUAAGUUUUCAAUGCUGAUGAAACUGGACUUUGCUGGAAAAAAAUGUCAAAUCGAACUUUUAUAUCAAGGAAUGUGAAAGUAGCCCCCGGCUUUAAGGCACAAAAAGAUCGGUUUACACUUUUGCUGUGUAGUAAUGCAUCAGGCGACUUUCAAGUAAGGCCAAUGCUUGUUUAUAAAUCGUUCAAUCCCCGUGCGUUUAAAGGGAUAGACAAGAGAAAAUUACUCGUUUACUGGAAAGCAAGUUACAAAGCUUGGGUAACUGCAGAAUUAUUUAAGGACUGGUUCUUGAAUGAUUUUGUACCUGAGGCUGAAAAAUAUUUAAAAAACAGUACUGCAUUCAAAAUAUACCAUAGACGGCACAAUAUACCAGAUUGUCAGCCAAAGCAACUAAGACCCCUAGUAAGUAGCCGUUUUUGCCCAUACAAAAGUAUUUCUUUAAUAACUUCGACAAUUUUUAUCGCAACUCUAGCUUUAAAAUUACGCUUGUUAUUAGAUUUUUUUAAUUUACGGGGGCGGAAGUGGGCGUGGCAAAAAUUUGAAACAAACUUGAUCUGCGUGCAAUCAUAACAAAUGCUGUCGAAAAAAAAUUAUAGCUCUAUCUCUUACAGUCUCUGAGAUCCAGUGUUUCAUACGGACGGUGCUGGUGCGCGCUGGCUUCUCCGGGCUUUGCUCUGUUAGAAUGGGGUUCAAGAAAACGGCCAACUAAUAAGACGCAUCACUUAUAAUAAUAAUACAUUAAGAAUUCGCCUACAUAUGGGAAGACAGAGAAGAAGGAGUGUAAUGGGAAGGUUGUAUUAAACAAUAGUGAAAGAGAAGGGGAAGGAGAGGAAGACGCCCACCCUACCGUGAUCCUGCAUUCUAAUGCCAAAAAUAACUGUUGGCAGGAUCCCUAAAAGGAAGUGGUUCUGCUAACCUACUCCUGCUUGGUGAUGCAUGGUUCCAAAUAAAAUUAUGCAAUUAAGCGAACAUACUUAAUUUAUUAACAUACAACAAAAGGGAUUUGAAGUUUAACAACAUUACAAACGAAAUGACAAACAAAAAUAAAUAAAUAAAUAAUUUAACGGACCAUAACAUGUGUUUAUGAGGCGGAAAUUAUUUAAAUAAGGCAAAAAAAGAAAGAAUAAAAAAAUUAAAGACGAAAAAUAAUUAACCUAUAAAUAUAAAAUAUAUUCUAGCAUAAAUAUAAUAUAAAUAAUAAUUUUUGCAUUUAAAUAUUGGAAUAAAUUAAUAGAAAGAAAAAAUUAGUUAAAAUGAACUAGUUUGGUUCAUUUAGAAUGCAAUGUUAGGCAAUCACAUAGAGUAUAGUCAAAUACUAGAUUCAAGUAAAAAUGAGGAUCAGCUGAUGGCUGUCACUCAAUGAAAUGUUUUGCUAUUGCCAGUCUCGCAAGGUCAUUGACCGCUGGGACUGCAGACA